rnacentral:rRNA from 1 species
AUAUGAGAGUGGCGAACGGGUGCGUAACGCGUAUGCAACCUACCCUAUACAGGGGGAUAGCCCGGAGAAAUCUGGAUUAAUAUCCCAUGGUAUCAUUUGACCGCAUGGUUAAAUGAUUAAAGAUUCAUCGGUAUAGGAUGGGCAUGCGUCUGAUUAGCUAGUUGGCGGUGUAACGGACCACCAAGGCUACGAUCAGUAGGGGUUCUGAGAGGAAGGUCCCCCACACUGGCACUGAGAUACGGGCCAGACUCCUACGGGAGGCAGCAGUAGGGAAUAUUGGGCAAUGGACGAGAGUCUGACCCAGCCAUGCCGCGUGCAGGAAGACGGCGUUCUGCGUUGUAAACUGCUUUUAUCUGGGAAGAAAAUGCCCCUGCGGGGGAAAUUGCCGGUACCAGAUGAAUAAGCACCGGCUAACUCCGUGCCAGCAGCCGCGGUAAUACGGAGGGUGCAAGCGUUGUCCGGAUUUAUUGGGUUUAAAGGGUGCGUAGGCGGCUGUUUAAGUCAGUGGUGAAAGACUCCGGCUCAACCGGAGCAGUGCCAUUGAUACUGGGCAGCUUGAGUAUUGGAGGGGUACAUGGAAUUGAUGGUGUAGCGGUGAA